AGGCCGGUAGUUCAAUGGCUAGAAUAGGGGUCUCCAAAACCCUUGAUGAGAGUUCGAUUCUCUCCCGGCCUGCAA
rnacentral:tRNA from 1 species